GACGGAGGAUGCAAGUGUUAUCCGGAAUCACUGGGCGUAGAGCGUCUGUAGGUGGUCAAAUAAGUCAACUGUUAAAUCUUGAGGCUCAACCUCAAAAUCGCAGUCGAAACUAUUAGGCUAGAGUAUAGUAGGGGUAAAGGGAAUUUCCAGUGGAGCGGUGAAAUGCGUAGAGAUUGGAAAGAACACCGAUGGCGAAGGCACUUUACUGGGCUAUUACUAACACUCAGAGACGAAAGCUAGGGUAGCAAAUGGG
rnacentral:rRNA from 1 species